rnacentral:tRNA from 1 species
GCGCCCGUAGCUCAGUUGGAUAGAGCACCGGCCUUCUAAGCCGGGGGUCGAAGGUUCGAGUCCUUCCGGGCGCACCA